AAAAGGGAAGGGGAUAUAGGAGGGGGUGGGGGAAAGGAGGGAGUUGGCUCUUGUUUAAAAUCUUGGGACUCUAGGAUUGGUUCAGGAAAAUGAAUUCUAU